UACGAGGGGGACGAGCGUUCUUCAGUCAAACUGGGCGUAAAGCGUUCGUAGGUCGGAGAGUGUGUGUUUAUACCAAAAGGACUUCUCGUAAGGAUGAAAGUGUAUAAAAACUACUCUUCUUGAGUUUUAAUAGAGUUUACUUUAUUACUCCAAGAGUAUUAAAAUGCGUAGACUGGAGUAGGAGAGCGCAAGGCGAAGGCGGUAAACUAAUUAAGACUGACGCUCAAGAACUAAAGCGUGGGUAGCGAUUGGG
rnacentral:misc_RNA from 1 species